rnacentral:sRNA from 1 species
CGGGGAGCUAGCGACUCGCUGGGCUUCAGGUGAUGCGCUUCUGGAGGCUGCUGGCGGAGAGCUGUUUUUGAUUGUGGGUUUCCCUGAUGCCCUUCCUUCCUCUGUGAUAUAAGAAACAACUGGGAAGGUAGGUGUGCCCUUUUCAACAAAGACGCUGGCAAUAAGAGAAAAUCAUUGAACAGAAACAACGCGUGCAAAACAGACAGGCAGAACCUCGUCCAGACCUUCGCCAAAAAUUCUUGCUGAAUCCAUUCAAUGCAAAGGAAGUCACAGAGGCACACAUCAACAUAAUGUAGAAAUUCCUUACAGACUGAGAGAGUGACAUGUGAUACGUUUAAGUUUUGAAUGGGAUGUGAUUUUCCAAUGGCACCUGGAAAACAGAAAUGAUCCUAAGAGAAUAUCUACUGAGGGAUGGAUGUCCCACUGAAAAAAGGAAUACAAAUUGAUCAUGUCAUGAGAAAUAUUUUACGAUCUUCUUUGAUACAGACAAUUGCAGGAAGACUUUGCCAAUGUGUGAAUCUCAUCAGUAGAGACCUGGGAAACAUCACCGGCAUGCGCUCCUCCUCAGAAACACCGCGCAUGUGCGUAUUUGGUGAGAAUGGUAGAAUAGGGUAGCUAGGCACCCUGGGAAGGUUAUUAUCAUUUAUGAAUGGGAUGGCCUUUGAUUUCAAGAAAUGAAAUAGAAAUUACAAAUGGUAAUGGAUUUUUAUAGCCUUUUAAUAAGAUGCUUUUACAAGACUGGUAAUUGUGCUUCUCUAUUUGCUUUCAACGGCCACCCUUUGAGAUCGAAUUCAAAUGACCUCUUGGCUGAUUGGGCAGAAGGUAACAUUUUCAACUUGACUUGUACAAAGGUGUACAAUUAGCUAUUUUUCCAUGUUCAGCAUAAAUGAACCGUGGCGUGACACGGCUGCUGUGUGGGAGAUAGAAUAGUCUGUUGUGAUGUGUACUGAGUAACAGGCACCAAAGGGUAAGGAGAAACCCCAGUCCUGCCUUCUCUGUAGACAGGAUCUGAGGCCAUGUCUUUACGUGUGCCACAGAAUACAGAGCUGAGCUAAUUUCUCAGAUAAUUUGAAUCAGCUGCUGCUGCUUCUAGGGAAGGAAAAGUGAGCUGGACAGACAUGGCCACUAAGGGAAGCACCAGAAAAAAAACACAAAGAACCACCUACAGGUUUUCAUCCUAUUAUUCUAGAAAAAUAUGCCUCGGGAUGAAUGAAUCUGAAGAUGAUUGCUUUGAAAUCAGUCUGCCUGGGCUUCUUCUGUUUUGUAAACUGUGCUUAUUUAAAUUGAACACAAUUCUAUUUUGUGUGUGUAUGGUUUAAAAAAAUUUUUUUUUUUUAGGGAAUCAUACAUAUUGAUACCAACUCAAAAGUUAUGGGGAUGACAAUAUAAACUUUAAAACAACUGGAGUGUCCUUUUAAGUGGCUUUAGUAGGACUAGCUGGGAGUUGCUGUGAGGUACCUGAAUCCUGCCUCUACUACUUACUAGACCCUGGGCAAGGCAAACUUGCCCAACACCAUGUUUCUGAGCAACUGGUUUAUCGUGAGAAUCACAGGACAUUGAAGGCAGAUUUAAGACGCACAUCUGUGCACAUAUCUGUAUCUAUUUAUGAGUAUGUAUUUGACUGUGCUAAUUUUAAAACAUUACUCUAGAUUCGUCAGUUAUGUUCCCUCUGACAGUCGAGAACAACUGUUCCAUUGACAAUGGGCUUGGUUGGACCACCCACAUCAGCACAGAGGAUGCGAUGUCACUCAACUUCUGCCUCCUUCACUGAGACAUUCUCCAUUGAAGCCUGAGUCACUGUGCAAAAGCUUGACUUCCCAGGGGUUACAAAGAUAUAAGGAAGACCUUGUCACAUGACGAAGACAGGACCAGGCACUGCAAUUGAUGGUCUUAGCUAUUCGUGGAGUUUGGAAUAUUCUAGCCCAGGAAUCAAGCAUAAUAUAUGUGUGUGCCUGAGUGUGUACCAUGUUCAUGAAGGAGCCUGAGGAGGUCUGAGGAAGCACUGGAUGCCCGAGAACUGAAGCUACAGAUGGCUGUGACCCACCAUGUCAGUGCUGGAGCCAAACGAACCCAGGUAGUCUACAGGAGCAGCAAGUGCUAUUUUCUAUAAAGACUUAAUACACAACAGGCCUAGGGGUGCAGCUCAGCAGUAAAGAACGGACCUCAAUCCCAGCAAAACAAAACAAAACAAAACAAAACAACACAUCUGCAUUGCAAAAGGUCAAACCUGAAAAUGCUUUUCUUUUCAUUUGCAGCCCUGCCCCCAUGUUGUCUUGUCAUUGACCCGGAGCAGGAAGACCGGUUCACUCAUUCCUGUCUAAACUUCUUAACAGACCUGAAAAUUUUAUCUUUAAUUUCAAUAUGGUUUUACUAGAGAGUCUUGCCUAGAACUUCUCAGAUUUAGCUGAACAGACUAUCAAAAGUGUAAUCUUUUUUGAACUUUAAAAUACACUUCGAGGGCUGGAGAGAUGUCUCAGUGGUUAAGAGCACCCACUGCUCUU